rnacentral:rRNA from 1 species
AUUGAACGCUGGCGGCGUGCCUAACACAUGCAAGUCGAGCGGUAACAGGUGUAGCAAUACAUGCUGACGAGCGGCGGACGGGUGAGUAACGCUUGGGAAUCUGCCUAUUAGUGGGGGACAACCCGGGGAAACUCGGGCUAAUACCGCAUACGCUCUACGGAGGAAAGCCGGGGACCGCAAGGCCUGGCGCUAAUAGAUGAGCCCAAGUCGGAUUAGCUAGUUGGUAGGGUAANGGCCUACCAAGGCGACGAUCCGUAACUGGUCUGAGAGGACGACCAGUCACACCGGAACUGAGACACGGUCCGGACUCCUACGGGAGGCAGCAGUGGGGAAUAUUGGACAAUGGGCGAAAGCCUGAUCCAGCGACGCCGCGUGGGUGAAGAAGGCCUGCGGGUUGUAAAGCCCUUUCAGUGGGGAAGAAAGCCUCGACCUAACACGUCGGGGUCUUGACGUAACCCAUAGAAG